AAUGAACGCUGGCGGCGUGCUUAACACAUGCAAGUCGCACGAGAACGCUUCAGCUUGCUGGAGCAAGUAAAGUGGCGCACGGGUGAGUAACGCGUGGGUAAUCUACCCUCGAAUUGGGGAUAACAUCGCGAAAGUGAUGCUAAUACCGAAUGAUAUCUUUAAAACUCCGGUUUUUUAGAUCAAAGGUGGCCUCUACAUGUAAGCUACUGUUUGGGGAUGAGCCCGCGUACCAUUAGCUUGUUGGUAGGGUAACGGCUUACCAAGGCAACGAUGGUUAGCUGGUCUGAGAGGAUGAUCAGCCACACUGGAACUGACACACGGUCCAGACUCCUACGGGAGGCAGCAGUGAGGAAUUUUGCGCAAUGGGGGAAACCCUGACGCAGCAACGCCGCGUGAGUGAUGAAGGCUUUCGGGUCGUAAAGCUCUGUCAAGUGGGAAGAAACCACAUGAUGCUAAUAUCAUCUUGUGUUGACGGUACCACUGAAGGAAGCACCGGCUAACUCCGUG
rnacentral:rRNA from 1 species